AGUAGUGCAUCAGUGAUGGUCUUUUCAUGUUCUGUGAGUUUUGCAAUGUAAUAAUGUUAGCCUUCUUCUGUUCCCCCUGUUUGCAGGUGGUGUGAGGACUGCUGCCCUGAGACCGCUGUGUGCAUUUUGGAAUGUUCCAAAUGUGUGUUACGUCCAUACAGAAGAAAUUCCAAGCCUGCAAUGGGCUCUAUCAACUGUCCAGGGCAAAGUCGGUCUACCCUGAUGGCACUACCUGUUACCCUGACCUCAACGUAGUGGGUGUGGACUACAGGAGCCCUGAUGUCAAGAAUUAAUAUAGACGGUGAUGGUGGCAAGGGUGCCUCCAUAAGGUGCCAGAAUUCCCAGCCUGGAGCCAGAGGCUGCUAUUGCAAGUCAGAUGGGGGAUGAUCUAUGUUAGGCGUCAGAAAGGUGGUGUACGCAGGAAGACAAGGCAAAGAUGU